rnacentral:lncRNA from 1 species
AGUAUGUCUAAUCCAUGAUUUUGUCUCUGGAACGAAAGAGUGGACGUGACUGUAUGGGCGGCUGUAGGAAGCGUAUGAUGAACAUGCCUGGAAUAUAAAUGAGACAGUUGUCGGUAGGGAUGUAUACCCCCGUCUGGUACAUGAAAGUGAAAUGUGAUAAGUGGCCAACCAAGUGAGUUCCCCAGAAACAUCAUGAACUUAUGGAUGAGUAGUGGCGUUUGUUGAUGAUAUGAUAUGUGCUUAGUUGUCUG